UGCUCUCAAGGCCACUGAUUUUGGUCUCUCUGUUUUUUACAAGCCAGGUGAAAUGUUUUCCGAUGUGGUUGGAAGUCCUUACUAUGUUGCACCUGAGGUUUUACGCAAGCAUUAUGGACCUGAAUCUGAUGUAUGGAGCGCAGGAGUUAUUUUGUACAUAUUACUUAGUGGUGUUCCACCUUUUUGGGCAGAAACUGAGAUGGGAAUAUUCCGCCAGAUAUUGCAAGCAAAAUUAGACUUUGAAUCUGAACCAUGGCCUGGAAUUUCAGAUAGUGCCAAGGAUUUGAUACGUAAAAUGCUUGACAGGAAUCCAAAGAGGAGGUUAACUGCCCAUGAAGUUUUGUGCCAUCCAUGGAUUGUGGAUGACACAAUAGCCCCUGAUAAACCUCUCGACUCUGCAGUUCUUUCACGCCUCAAGCAAUUUUCUGCAAUGAACAAACUUAAGAA
rnacentral:misc_RNA from 1 species